rnacentral:ncRNA from 1 species
UGGUCUGCACCGACCCCUUGCCGAAGGACGUGGUGCCGAGGAUGACCGCUCGCUGAUGAUCCUUCAGGGCCCCGGCGACGAUCUCGGAGGCCGAAGCGGAGCCGCCGUUGAUCAGCACCACCAUCGGCAGGCCGCCGGUGAUGUCGCCGCUCUUGGCGUUGUAGCGCUGGGCGCUGUCGGGACGCCGGCCGCGGGUCGAAACGAUCUCGCCCUGAUCGAGGAAGGCGUCGCUGACCGCGACAGCCUGGUCGAGCAGGCCGCCCGGAUUGUUGCGA